GUUGUAGUGGCUCAGUGUCUGAGCAUCAGCCUAUGAAGCAGGAGGUCCUGGGUUUGAUUCCCAGUCAGGGCA
rnacentral:tRNA from 1 species